AUUCACUGGGUUUAAAGGGUGCGUAGGUGGACAGAACAGUCAGUGGUGAAAUCCCAGGGCUCAACCCUGGAACUGCCUUUAAUACUGCCGGUCUAGAGUUCGAGAGAGGUGAGUGGAAUUACGAGUGUAGAGGUGAAAUUCGUAGAUAUUCGGAGGAACACCAGUGGCGAAGGCGGCUCACUGGCUCGACACUGACGCUGAGGUGCGAAAGCGUGGGGAGCAAACAG
rnacentral:rRNA from 1 species